rnacentral:lncRNA from 1 species
GAGAUAAUAGUGAUUGGAGCAUAAGGGAAUUCUCUGAUGACAACAAGGCUUCAAAGUGAAUGUUUCAGCCACCACCUUCAACUAUAUAUAGAACCAUGAAUUCCUAUUCUUCCAUCGUCACUGCAUUAAGGCAUAUUUAAUCUUCUAGUUAACUUAGUAAGCAAUGAUGGCAGCUUCUUCCAUCAAUUUUUUAUACUUGGGAGUCUGUUUAUCCCAGUCAAGGCUUCAUCUCGCUUCCUCUAAAGAAAUCAAAGCUCCAAAUCAAAGGCCUCAUGACAUACCAGAAGAUCAACGUUAUUCCUUCAUUGAUGGUAUUCUUUUUUUUUUUUUUAAUUAUUGAAAUAUUGAUGGAAUUCAUAAAAUGUGGGUUUUCAAGACUGAUGAACCUCAUUCUCCUAAGAGUCACACUAAUCCUCAUACAGAAAUCCAUAUACGUGUAAGUAUAUAUUCUGCAGUAUCUAUACAAAUAUAUAUACACAUGUUUGUGUGUCUAUCUAUAUAUAUACAUACAUACAUACAUAUAUAAAUAUACACACGUGUGUAUACACACAUACAUACAUAUAUAUACACAUGUGUAUACACACACACAUACAUACAUACAUACAAAUACACACACAUACACUGUGUAUGUGUGUGUAUUUGUAUGUAUAUAUAUAUGUAUGUGUAUGUGUGUCUAUAUGUAUGUAUGUAUGUAUGUAUGUAUACACACACACAUAUAUAUAUGUAUAUGUAUGUUUAUAUGUACACAUACACACACACACAUAUAUAUGUAUGUAUGUAUGCGUGUGUGUAUAUAUAUACACAUACAUAUACACGUGCACACAUAUAUCAUAUAUACACACACACACACAUAUAUAUGUAUGUAUAUAUGGUAUGUAUGUAUGUAUGUAUAUACACACACAUAUAUAUGUGUACAUACAUACAUGUACACACACACACAGAUAUAUAUGUGUAAAUAAUACUGCUAAUUAGACAAGAGACAUAAAAAAUUAGAAGAUGCAUUAAUUGCGGAACGGGUUCCAAAUUUUACAGGAACGGGUGUGUAUUCUCAAGUUAUUACAGGCACUAUGAAUGGUCCUGACUAAUAGAAUGGUUAGUAAUGUCUAAUGGUUAGUAAUGCCUUUCAAUAAGCCUUUCAAUAAGCCUUUUGGGUUACAGUUAUUAAAUUUGAAAACUAAUUUUAGUUUUCUCAGAAUUUAUUAAACACGGAAUAAUAAUCAGUAAUAAAAAGGCACAAUUUUUUAGAAAAAAUAUAGAAUUUUUAGGAACAGAAAUAGGACAAGGAAAAAUAAAAUUACAACCACAUAUUUGUAAAAAGGUUUUAGAAUUUCCAGAUAAGAUAGAAGAAACAAAGAAAUUCUGGUUAACAUGUCUUAGGAUAAUAUAGUUUAAUCAUUUGUUAUAUAACCAACUGUAAUCAUUUGUUAUAUAAAUUAAUAACAAGAGACAUAAAGCUCUGAUACCAACUUUUUACAGGAACGGGUUCCAAAUUGCGGACCUUUGGUACGUGGAGCAGAGGAGAGAGUGUGCAGUGAAGCAGAGCUUCUUCCUCUCAAUCAACUUUUUACAGGAACGGGUUCCAAAUUGCGGACCUUUGGUACGUGGAGCAGAGGAGAGAGUGUGCAGUGAAGCAGAGCUUCUUCCUCUCAAUCAUGCUUAGUCCGAUAUACCACAGAUCUUGUUACAGAAAAUCUUUUUAUUUUUGUAUUUUUCUUGUUCUUCUAAUUUUUGUCUUUCUAUUAAUUUUAAUUCAGAGUAUCUAUGCCAAAGUAAAUCUACUUUUGCUUGUCUUAAAUUUUUUAGAAAUGAUGCGGGAUGAUGGUGUGCUACUUUAGAUAAUCUAGCGUCUUCUAUUUGUAUAUGUGCUAAACACUGGUUUGUUGUUUCAAUUUCUUCUAAAAUUUUAUCAAAAUAAUAAUAGGUAUCUGGUUGUCU